rnacentral:rRNA from 1 species
GACGAACGCUGGCGGCGUGCUUAACGCAUGCAAGUCGAACGGGCCCGCUCUCUUUUUUGGGGGUGGGUUGAGUGGCGAACGGGUGAGUAUCACGUGAGUAACCUGCCCCCUGCUCCUGGAUAACUGCUUGAAAGGGCGGCUAAUACGGGGUGUGCCGGCUGGUCCGCAUGGGCCUGGUCGGGAUAGUUUCAUCUUCGGGUGUUUCGGUGGGGGAUGGGCUCGCGGCCUAUCAGCUUGUUGGUGGGGUGAUGGCCCACCAAGGCGGUGACGGGUAGCCGGCCUGAGAGGGUGGGCGGCCACACUGGGACUGAGACACGGCCCAGACUCCUGCGGGAGGCAGCAGUGGGGGGUAUUGCACAAUGGGCGGAAGCCUGAUGCAGCGACGUCGCGUGAGGGAUGGAGGCCUUCGGGUUGUGAACCUCUUUCUCCGGUGGUGAAGGCCCUGUCCGUUGCGGCGGGGUUAACGGUAGCCGGGUAUGAAGCGCCGGCUAACUACGUG